rnacentral:rRNA from 1 species
UACGAGAGGCCCAAACGUUAUUCGGAAUUACUGGGCUUAAAGAGUUCGUAGGCGGCAUGAAAAGCAGGGUGUGAAAGCCCUCGGCUCAACCGAGGAAUUGCGCUCUGAACUGUCGUGCUUGAGGAACCUAGAGGUGAGCAGAACAGAUGGUGGAGCGGUGAAAUGCGUAGAUAUUGGGAGGAACACCGGUGGCGAAGGCGGCUACCUGGACCGGUACUGACGCUGAGGCGCGAAAGCUGGGGUAGCAAACAGG